AUGACCUCUACAUGUCUGCUUCUGCUGCUGGCAGCUGUACACUGUGUUCACAGUAUUGAGCUGGUCCAGUCCAAGUCCACAGUAGUAGCCCCUGGUCAGUCACUGACUCUGACCUGUAAAGCGUCUGGAUAUUCAUUAAGCAGCUACUGGACACACUGGAUACGACAACCUGCAGGAAAAACUCUGGAGUGGAUUGGACAAAUGCUUGGUAGUGGUAGCAUUUCAUUUAACGAGAAACUGAAAAGCAGGUUUCAGGUUUCUACAGACACGUCCAGCAGCACAGUAACAUUAACAGGGAAGAACAUGCAAACAGAAGACACAGCUGUGUAUUACUGCGCUCGGGAGGCCCACAAUGAGACAUGUGAAUAA